AUUGAACGCUGGCGGCAUGCCUUACACAUGCAAGUCGAACGGCAGCACGGGAGCAAUCCUGGUGGCGAGUGGCGAACGGGUGAGUAAUAUAUCGGAACGUGCCCGGUCGUGGGGAUAACGUAGCGAAAGCUACGCUAAUACCGCAUACGAUCUAUGGAUGAAAGCGGGGGAUCGCAAGACCUCGCGCGAUUGGAGCGGCCGAUAUCAGAUUAGGUAGUUGGUGAGGUAAAGGCUCACCAAACCGACGAUCUGUAGCUGGUCUGAGAGGACGACCAGCCACACUGGGACUGAGACACGGCCAGACUCCUACGGGAGGCAGCAGUGGGAAUAUUGGACAAUGGGCGAAAGCCUGAUCCAGCAAUGCCGCGUGAGUGAUGAAGGCCU
rnacentral:rRNA from 1 species